rnacentral:misc_RNA from 1 species
CCGAGUUUACAACUCCCAAACCCCUGUGAACAUACCUAUACGUUGCCUCGGCGGAUCAGCCCGCGCCCCGUAAAAAGGGACGGCCCGCCCGAGGACCCCUAAACUCUGUUUUUAGUGGAACUUCUGAGUAAAACCAAUAAAAUAAAUCA